GAACGCUAGCGGCAGGCCUAAUACAUGCAAGUCGAGGGGGAUUUAGGAGCUUGCUUUGGAUGAGACCGGCAUACGGGUGCGUAACGCGUAUGCAACCUACCUCUGUCGGGGGGAUAGCCCCCGGAAACGGGGAUUAACGCCGCAUGAAACCACGGCACAGCAUUGUGGGUGGAUUAAAUAUUGAUGGGACAGAUAUGGGCAUGCGUGCCAUUAGCUAGUUCGCGGGGUAACGGCCCACCAAGGCAGCGAUCGCUAGGGGAUCUGAGAGGAGGGCCCCCCACACUGGUACUGAGACACGGACCAGACUCCUACGGGAGGCAGCAGUGAGGAAUAUUGGACAAUGGACGCAAGUCUGAUCCAGCCAUGCCGCGUGCAGGAAGACGGCCCUACGGGUCGUAAACUGCUUUUGUACGGGAACAAACUCUCUCUUGGAGGAGAGCUGAGCGUACCGUGAGAAUAAGGAUCGGCUAACUCCGUGCCAGCAGCCGCCGUAAUACGGAGGGUGCAAGCGUUAUCCGGAAUCAUUGGGUUUAAAGGGUCCGUAGGCGGACGUCUAAGUCAGUGGUGAAAUUCUGCAGCUCAACUGUAGAACUGCCAUUGAUACUGGUCGUCUUGAAUGUAGUUGAGGUGGGCGGAAUGUGACAAGUAGCGGUGAAAUGCAUAGAUAUGUCACAGAACACCGAUUGCGAAGGCAGCUCACUAAGCUAUGAUUGACGCUGAGGCUCGAAAGCGUGGGGAUCAAACAGGAUUAGAUACCCUGGUAGUCCACGCCCUAAACGAUGAUAACUCGAUGUUGGCGAUAUACAGCCAGCGUCCGAGCGAAAGCGUUAAGUUAUCCACCUGGGGAGUACGCCCGCAAGGGUGAAACUCAAAGGAAUUGACGGGGGCCCGCACAAGCCGAAGAGCAUGUGGUUUAAUUCGAUGAUACGCGAGGAACCUUACCCGGGCUUGAAAGUUACUGAAGGUGUUAGAGAUAGCACUGUCUUCGGACAGGAAACUAGGUGCUGCAUGGCUGUCGUCAGCUCGUGCCGUGAGGUGUUGGGUUAAGUCCCGCAACGAGCGCAACCCCUAUGUUUAGUUGCCAGCAUGUAAAGGUGGGGACUCUAAACAGACUGCCCACGUAAGUGGCGAGGAAGGUGGGGACGACGUCAAGUCAUCAUGGCCCUUACGUCCGGGGCUACACACGUGCUACAAUGGACGGUACAGAGGGCAGCUACCCUGCAAGGGGAUGCGAAUCUCACAAAGCCGUUCACAGUUCGGAUCGGGGUCUGCAACUCGACCCCGUGAAGUUGGAUUCGCUAGUAAUCGCGUAUCAGCAAUGACGCGGUGAAUACGUUCCCGGGCCUUGUACACACCGCCCGUCAAGCCAUGGAAGUCGGGGGCGCCUAAAGUCCGUGACCGCAAGGAGCGGCCUAGGGUGAAACUGA
rnacentral:rRNA from 1 species